rnacentral:lncRNA from 1 species
GGAUGUUGUCCUUGUAGGAGACGGUGCCCGCUGUGUGGCUGAGGCUGUAGCAUGUGCCAGAGCGAGUGUGCUGCUGGCUAUCUCUAUUAACUUUCCCUGGAAGGGCGGCAGAAAAGGCAGUGCCCAGGUGCCGUCCUCCCUGUGCAGUGGAGGUGUGGGUGAAGAAUAACAUAUGCAAACAUGUCCCCUGUGGAGCUUUCCUGUCAGUCUGGCUCCUGUGCUUGGUGGCCUUCAGGAUCUGUGCUGAAGCUCGUCUUCCAGGCUCCAGGGUGGACACAUGCUAAUACCUUCCCAGCCUCCCUGACCUGCCAGUCCUUUGUCACGGCUCUGUUCAUGCAUACUUGAAAGUAUCUGAGUGUCCACAAGCUGAUGUGGGGUUUCAGAGUUAUAGGCCACACACACACACACACACACACGUUUUUCUUUGCAAUACUUGAAAUAUUGCCACUGUGCUUGGUUGUACAAGAGUUGUACAAGAAAGCAGAUCUCUAAGACCAGUCUCUUCCUUAGUCACCCUAUGACCUCCCUUGCAUGUAACAUGUUGUAUUUAUUGCUUUGUGGCCAACUGGAACCCAGAGCCACCAGGGAGGCUAGUGCAGGGAUUCCUGACCCACCACCUGGUUCCUGAAAGGCUCCUGGGUGGCUGUGUGUGUGUGUGGCUGGCUGUGUGUGGUAUGAGCCAAACCUGCUCAUGAAAGCAGUGCUCAGGCCUGUCAAUUUUAAGAUGAAUUUUGUGAGUCUCCCCCUUUUGUGUUUCACUGUGUCAUAUCAGUUUAAGAAAAUAAAAAUUGGAAUUAUU